GACGGAAGGUGCAAGCGUUGCUCGGAAUCACUGGGCGUAAAGGGUGCGUAGGCGGCUUCUUAAGUCUGGUGUGAAAGCCCAGGGCUUAGCUCUGGAAGUGCACUAGAAACUGGGAAGCUUGAGUACCGGAGGGGAGAGUGGAAUUCCUGGUGUAGCGGUGAAAUGCGUAGAUAUCUGGAGGAACACCGGUGGCGAAGGCGGCAUCCUGGACCGGUAUUGACGCUGAGGAGCGAAAGCCAGGGGAGCAAACGGG
rnacentral:rRNA from 1 species